rnacentral:rRNA from 1 species
GACGAACGCUGGCGGCGUGCUUAACACAUGCAAGUCGAACGGAAAGGCCCUGCUUUUGUGGGGUGCUCGAGUGGCGAACGGGUGAGUAACACGUGAGUAACCUGCCCUUGACUUUGGGAUAACUUCAGGAAACUGGGGCUAAUACCGGAUAGGAGCUCCUGCUGCAUGGUGGGGGUUGGAAAGUUUCGGCGGUUGGGGAUGGACUCGCGGCUUAUCAGCUUGUUGGUGGGGUAGUGGCUUACCAAGGCUUUGACGGGUAGCCGGCCUGAGAGGGUGACCGGCCACAUUGGGACUGAGAUACGGCCCAGACUCCUACGGGAGGCAGCAGUGGGGAAUAUUGCACAAUAGGCGGAAGCCUGAUGCAGCAACGCCGCGUGCGGGAUGACGGCCUUCGGGUUGUAAACCGCUUUCGCCUGUGACGAAGCGUGAGUGACGGUAAUUGGUAAAGAAGCACCGGCUAACUACGUG